rnacentral:lncRNA from 1 species
AAUAUUUGAUCCCUAUAAAUAUAAGUCAUUUGUGUUUUGAUCAUUCACAAUACAUCUAUUGAAAGUUCCAAAUAUUUGAUCCCUAUAAAUAUAAGUCAUUUGUGUUUUGAUCAUUCACAAUAACUAUUUCUCCUUCUAUACCAAUACAUAACAUCUCUCUUGUGCCUUAUAAUCAAAAUGAACUUUAAUAGUUCUAUUAAUGCCAUCUAUAUUUGUUUUUAUGUUACCGUUAGUCUUAUUUUAAUCUUCUUACUCUUGGCAUUUUAUGAGAUAGCCUGUGUACCUCUUUUACAAACAUUGUUUNNNNNNNNNNNNNNNNNUGUUGAAUCUCCUAUGGGAGAACUUGGUCACUCAUUACCACUCCCUGCGCCGCUUCCAUCUGAAGGAAUUUCAUGGCCUUCCCAUCAGCAUACAACAUAGGCGAGUCUAUAGUUGAAUUAGAAUAUAAUUUUCAUUUUAUUUGUUCCUGCAAAACAAACAUAUGUAUUGAGUUAGUUGUUAUUAUUAUUAUUAUUAUUAUUAUUAUUAUUAUUAUUAUUAUUAUUUAUCCAACUUUUGUGUUUUUUC